GCGCCCGUAGCUCAACUGGAUAGAGCAUCUGACUACGAAUCAGAAGGCUGGAGGUUCGACUCCUUCCGGGCGCG
rfam:Kaistia sp. SCN 65-12 ABS35_C0320, whole genome shotgun sequence.